UGGCCCAGUUGGAAGCCUGAUGCCCUCAGUCAGUGAGUCUAAACCUCCUGUGCUAUCCAGGUGGCCCUCUGCCUGCUGGAGGGGCCAAUCACGCACGCAGAUCGCACGACCACGGGUGUCUGCGAUCACCCUCACUUCGCUGUGCCUGGAUCAAGUAGCCUGGAGGCAGACUUAGCACCUGAAGCCACCGCCAAUACCUGCUCCAUGCACUUGAGUUGAGGGAUGUGGGAUCUCAGGCCUGUCAAUCAUCGAUCUGACCAAGUUCCAAGGGCGUCACCUUCACAGAUGAACUGUGAGAAGUGGAAAGUGUCCCGCAAACUGGAAUUCUCAGAGAAGUGGACUUUCUAACACACACCCCUGUCCCAGGGCAGGGGCGAGGGAAGGAAACCGCCUUCACAUCUCAGCACUCGGUCCCUCUACCUCCUUGGCAGUCCCUCUCCUGAAUGAAGGCUCUAUCACUGAGCUUUUCUCUGGGAUUCUUGAAAAAAAAAUAAUAAAAUAUUUAUUUGUAGUUUGUAAAAUUA